AGUGGGUAACUACUUUUGGUGGCGACCGGCGCACGGGUGCGUAACGCGUAUGCAACCUACCUUUAACAGGGGGAUAAUCUGAAGAAAUUUGGUCUAAUACCCCAUAUUAUCAUGAGAGGCAUCUUUUGUGAUUGAAAAUUCCGAUGGUUAAAGAUGGGCAUGCGUUGUAUUAGCUAGAUGGUGAGGUAACGGCUCACCAUGGCAACGAUACAUAGGGGGACUGAGAGGUUUACCCCCCACACUGGUACUGAGACACGGACCAGACUCCUACGGGAGGCAGCAGUGAGGAAUAUUGGUCAAUGGACGCAAGUCUGAACCAGCCAUGCCGCGUGCAGGAUGACGGCUCUAUGAGUUGUAAACUGCUUUUGUACGAGGGUAACCGCGGAUACGUGUAUCCGUCUGAAAGUAUCGUACGAAUAAGGAUCGGCUAACUCCGUGCCAGCAGCCGCGGUAAUACGGAGGAUCCGAGCGUUAUCCGGAUUUAUUGGGUUUAAAGGGUGCGUAGGCGGUUUGAUAAGUUAUAGG
rnacentral:rRNA from 1 species